GUACGGGCACUUGAUCUCUUCUUCCAGAAUGGGAUUCACCAUUCGGGAGCACAUGUGGCACCAAUAUCUUGCUGCCAUCGCUUCCUCCAUCUUGUCUCCCUCUUCCCCCUUCAAUUCUAAUCACAAGCACGGAGUCGCCGCACAACUUAGACGCAGACCAACGCGUGAACAAGAAGGGCCGAUGCCAUGAACGAGUCAAAAGAGGAGAAGCAGAGCGCAGACCCACAUGUUCGUAUAGCUCAGAGACAGGCGCCGAUCAACAUUGAGACGAACCCAGAUGAGAGA